rnacentral:rRNA from 1 species
AUGAGCAGAAUCGCGUCCUCACUCAACGUCGGCUUCGUCGCCGGCGUCCUCUUUGUGCUCCUCGUCUAUUUCCUCGUCCAGCAGCAGGAGGCGAUCAGCAGCCUCAGCGUUGCCACUACGGCGGCAGUAUCACAAUGGAUGACGGAUAAACAGCUGAUCAAGGCCCCUGGUGAAAUACAACAGAUUAAAGCUCCUGGUGAAAUACUUGUCGCUUCUGAUGUGCAUCGGAUCGCGGACAAACAGCCGAUUCAAGAUCCAGAUGUCGCUUCUGACGUGCAGCCGAUCUCGGACAAAGAGCCGAUUCAUGAUUCAGAGAAAGGCGAGGUGGUGUGUACCACGGAGAGCGAGACCCUCGGUCACUCUGAAACUUGCGAAGUCGACGGCGACGUCCGCACCAACGGCACUGCCUUGUCGGUGACCCUCGUCCCGGCGAGCUGGAAGGAGCGCCGCGAGUGGAUGAUCUCACCAUACUCGAAAGCGGAGAUCAUCGUCAAGAACGUCACCGUGACGCAGCUGCAGGACCGGGCCACCGCCCCGCCGUGCACGGUGACCCACAGCAUGCCGGCCGUCCUGUUCGCAAUCGCCGGGCACGCGGGCAACUACUGGCAUGACUACACCGACAUUCUGGUGCCACUCUUCGUCGCGUCGCGGCGGUACCGCGGCGAGGUCACGUUCCUGAUCAGCAACAUCCAGUAUAGGCCGGAGUGGCUGGUCAAGUACAAGACCUUGUUGUGGGGGCUGUCCAAGCACGCGUGGGUGGACAUGGAGGGCGACACGGAGGUGCGGUGCUUCCCGCACGUCACGGUGGGGCUCCGCGUCGACAAGGAGCUGACGAUCGUCCCCGAGGUGGUGCCGGGGGGCCCCCUCUCCAUGGCGGACUUCACCCGAUUCCUGCGCGAGACCUACGGUCUCCCACGCGGCGCGGCGGUCAGCCUGACCCGUGAGCCGGACAAGAAGCCGCGGCUGCUGCUGAUCCACCGGGGGCACUACCGCCUGUUCCUGAACGAGCCGGAGAUAGCGCAAGCGGCGGAGGCGGCGGGGUUCGAGACGGUGAUGAUGGAGCUGCGGGCCAACGCGUCCGAGGCGGAGCAGGCGCGGGUGGUGAACUCGUUCGACGUGCUGCUGGGCAUGCACGGAGCCGGGCUGACGAACGCGUUGCACCUGCCGCCGGGCGGCGUGGUGAUCCAGGUGGUGCCGUACGGGAACAUAGAGGUCCUGGCGAGGGCGGAGUUCAGCGAGCCCGUGACGGACAUGGGGCUCAAGUACCUGGAUUACAGCGUGAGCGUGGAGGAGAGCUCGCUGCUGGAGACGUUGGGGCCGGAGCACCCGGCGAUCAAGGACCCCGAAUCCAUCCACCGCAGCGGCUGGACCAACAUGUUUGAGUUCUACCUCGCUAAGCAGAACGUCCGCAUCAACACCACCCGCUUCGCGCCAACCCUGGCGCAAGCGUUCGACCACCUACGCCAACAGUAG